UGCCCUGCGACUCAUAUCCCUACAUCCACGCGGUAUUGACCGGGCUACGAGCAACCUUAGGGAAGAUCUGGUAGUCAACUCCGGUGGGAACUUUGGUCGUAUGCUGACAGGGGAUG
rfam:Aedes aegypti strain Liverpool supercont1.255 genomic scaffold, whole genome shotgun sequence.